rnacentral:ncRNA from 2 species
AUCUUAUCAAGAGAGGCAGAUGGACUGGCCCGACGAAGCCCAGCAACCGCGAGACGUAGUUUUGUUAGGUGCUAAUUCCAGUAGAACGAAUCGUUCUGAAAGAUAAGAU